GCAUAUCAAUAAGCGGAGGAAAAGAAACCAACAGGGAUUGCCUUAGUAACGGCGAGUGAAGCGGCAAAAGCUCAAAUUUGAAAUCGGCCUCCAGGUCGAGUUGUAAUUUGUAGAUUGUAUCUUGAGAGCGGACUAAAGUCUGUUGGAACACAGCGCCUUAGAGGGUGACAGCCCCGUAAAGUCUAUUCUCACAGUAAGAU
rnacentral:rRNA from 1 species